UACGUAGGGGGCUAGCGUUGUCCGGAUUUAUUGGGCGUAAAGAGCGUGUAGGCGGCCAUGUAGGUCCGUUGUGAAAACUCGAGGCUCAACCUCGAGACGCCGAUGGAAACCAUGUGGCUAGAGUCCGGAAGAGGAGAGUGGAAUUCCUGGUGUAGCGGUGAAAUGCGCAGAUAUCAGGAGGAACACCGGUGGCGAAGGCGGGUCUCUGGGCCGGAACUGACGCUGAGGAGCGAAAGCGUGGGGAGCGAACAGG
rnacentral:rRNA from 1 species